rnacentral:tRNA from 1 species
GCCUGGCAGGCGCUAGGCGCGCAGGCCGCUACCGUCGGCCUGAUCCUGGAGGCGUUCGUGCCGUUCGAGCGCGAGAUU